UCAAACCCAAUCCCGUAGUACGUACGUAGUCGCAGCGACCUAAAAUUCCCCUCCACAACGGCGGCGCCGGCGCCGGCGCCGGGCCGGAUCCCUCAAGCAAGCUGGGCGAGUACGCACACCGGAGGUGAUGUUCCAUCUCUCCGAUGGCUCGUGCCCGCCGUGCCUCCGAAUCGCCGAUGGUCCAGUUUGAAGCCAACCAGAUCGGAGCUCCUGGAGUGCUAAGAUCCGCGCCGCAGUGUGUUCGUCACGGCCUCCCAUCUCAGGCUCCGGCAGCGACUGGUUCGUCACCGCCUCUACAGCAUCAGCUCGCGUCCUCCUCGACCUCGUCGGCUGCAAAUCGUUGGUGAGCUCCUCGGCUCCUUCCGGACCAGCCCCUGUGACGUGGUGCGAACCUACAAGGUGUUACCAUGGUGGUUAACUUUUCUGUUUGAUUUCUCCCAGGACAAGAAGCUCGAGCAAGAAGAACUACGGCUGGAGGCAACUGUUGUGUACCAUCAACAUAGAAACGUUGAUGCAGUUUUUAGUCGCAAUGUUUGUUGAGUGAUGAUUAUUAGUCCUUUGGACUAAGCAUUGCCUGCGAUGUACAGUACCCUAAUGCAAUUUUUGCUAACAAUGCUUGUUGAUCCUGUCAUGUUAUUUAUUACUUGAUAUGCACUCCCUCCGUUCUUAAAUAUAAUUAAGCCCUUUUAGAGAUUCCAA